CCAAACUGUAAGGACAUCCAGACUAGAGCGUUGGAGACCACGGGUAGAGGGGCUGGAAAUAAAUAGGUGGCCUCCCUCACAGUCAGACAGCUUCCUGUCUGUUCCCACCUGAUGAAGAACCUCUAGCAUCAUCUCAUCAAGGAUUCCAGGCUGGACAAAAUCAAGAACCAGGAUGAGAAGAAAUGCGAAAACCAGUGCUUCCUCUUCUACCUGGACUGGAUCCACCGCAGGUGAGCGUUUCAGUAAUCCUGGCCGCUGCCCAACGUUGCCACUCCCCAACUCGUCUUCAGUCAUGGGAUGCCUCUUGCCGUCUGACUGGUGAGCGAUCCAACUCCAGUGUCUCCUGAGGUGUCAGUGUCUCUAUCCACUUGCCUAAAAGGCAGACACUGAGGCAAGGCUUCCAGUACCAGUAGCUCACGUGGGAGCCAAACCCAGUGGACACAGGCUGAGGCCGGUGAGAUGCGAGAGGAGGGAGGGAGAGAAAACCAAUAACAGCUGUUAGCAAAUGGGGCCAUGCCGUGGACCACUGGGCUCCAUCCUGCUAAGCUUCCACGUGGAGUCUCUGGCUUUGUAUCCACAGAACACAUCUCAGCAUCCUCCCCUCCAUGGAGGAUGUUUCUCCAUCAGCUUCUGUCCCUCCUGGUUGCCCAGAGCAAUAACUCCUGGCAGUUCUGGCCUCAUGCACUGUGGGCUGAGCUUGCACGCGUUGCCAGAGCCUUCGGGUAGAAAGUGCUGCAGAUGGACCAGGCAGGAGACCAUCAGGAUGAGUGGGAACUGCCCAGUGAGCCUGCAGGAGACCUCCACGGGGGCUGCAGCAUCUGGGCGUGACCCUGCCGCCUCGGAAGGUAGACACAGGAGCACCACCAUGAUGUGGGGAGGGACAGGGGUUCAUGGAAUAUUUUUCACACUUUAGUGUCUUCAUGUUUUAUUGCGUUCCUGGUGGUUUAAUGUAAAUUGUUUUAGUCUGGAGGAGGCUAGAGGCAGACAGGCCGGUGAGAGAACUGUGACAAUCACGCAAGGAUGAUGCAGAGAAGUAGGGAGUCAGGCCCGGUAACGAGCAAGGACGGCAGGUCAACCACACUUCUGUUCCUUUCACAUUAUGUAUUAUGCUGUGGGAAGACAGAACCAGGAUGCACCUCACAAGUAUCGCACAGGACAUCAAAAGACAAAGAUAACAUAAUAUGCCACGAGAAGGUAAAAAUAUGCCACUUACGUAUAGUGGAGAGACGCAUGUAUAACAUGGACACCAGAAGUACAAGGAAAUGCAUCAGAAUAGUAAAUAUCACUCUGAGGGUAGUGGUUAAUGUUUGGGGA